rnacentral:rRNA from 1 species
UACGGAGGGAGCUAGCGUUGUUCGGAAUUACUGGGCGUAAAGCGCACGUAGGCGGCUUUGCAAGUUAGAGGUGAAAGCCCGGGGCUCAACCCCGGAAUUGCCUUUAAGACUGCAUCGCUUGAAUCCAGGAGAGGUGAGUGGAAUUCCGAGUGUAGAGGUGAAAUUCGUAGAUAUUCGGAAGAACACCAGUGGCGAAGGCGGCUCACUGGACUGGUAUUGACGCUGAGGUGCGAAAGCGUGGGGAGCAAACAGG